AUUGAACGCUGGCGGCAGGCCUAACACAUGCAAGUCGAACGGUAACAGGAAACAGCUUGCUGUUUCGCUGACGAGUGGCGGACGGGUGAGUAAUGUCUGGGAAACUGCCUGAUGGAGGGGGAUAACUACUGGAAACGGUAGCUAAUACCGCAUAACGUCGCAAGACCAAAGAGGGGGACCCUCGGGCCUCUUGUCAUCGGAUGUGCCCAGAUGGGAUUAGCUUGUUGGUGGGGUAACGGCUCACCAAGGCGACGAUCCCUAGCUGGUCUGAGAGGAUGACCAGCCACACUGGAACUGAGACACGGUCCAGACUCCUACGGGAGGCAGCAGUGGGGAAUAUUGCACAAAGGGCGCAAGCCUGAUGCAGCCAUGCCGCGUGUAUGAAGAAGGCCUUCGGGUUGUAAAGUACUUUCAGCGGGGAGGAAGGGAGUAAAGUUAAUACCUUUGCUCAUUGACGUUACCCGCAGAAGAAGCACCGGCUAACUCCGUG
rnacentral:rRNA from 1 species